UACGUAGGGUGCAAGCGUUGUCCGGAAUUAUUGGGCGUAAAGAGCUCGUAGGCGGUCUGUCGCGUCGAAUGUGAAAACCCGGGGCUCAACUCCGGGCCUGCAUUCGAUACGGGCAGACUAGAGUUCGGUAGGGGAGUCUGGAAUUCCUGGUGUAGCGGUGAAAUGCGCAGAUAUCAGAAGGAACACCGGUGGCGAAGGCGGGACUCUGGGCCGAUACUGACGCUGAGGAGCGAAAGCGUGGGGAGCAAACAGG
rnacentral:rRNA from 1 species